CUUACAUUUUGUGCCAUUUUGUGUUAUUUUUAUUAUUAUUAUUGUUAGGGGUAUGUUUAGGGUUAGGGUAGGUGUAGACGUUAAUAAAAUACAAUCUAAUAGGUUGAAAAUUACAUUUAUUGUUAGUUUCCGGUCGGAGCUGUAUCCCUUCUUUCCUGAGGAGAGAGCUCACUACAUUACCCAUAAGCCCUCUGUUGUUCCGGAAGUGGCGUAAAAUAUACUGGCUCCUGGAUUUAAACUGAAAUGGGCACUGGUCCCAUGAAUAAAGGAUUUUAGACAAAAUAGCUUCUUUAAUAACCAUUUUUAUGAGAGGACAUGUGUUAGUGAGGUUUCUCUAAAAUGACCGGUUUCACGGAGUUUAUCGCGCGUGUGUUUUGAAGCGUUAUUUCAGUCGUUUGUUUCCUAAAGCUGACACGGUCCUCUUCAUUAUAUCAGGUGUCCGUUUACCUGUUGCUGUAACUUCACCUGUCACCUGUCAUCAUUCCCGCUGGCUUUACGUGACUUCAGAACGCAGGCUGGGUUUAGGCUCCUAUUUUAAUCGAUAAGUUGAUUAUCAGCCGCUCAGGAUGAACUGGGAUCAACAGUUGAGCUCCAUCAUCUCCGAGGCUGAUGGAAGUGUCGCAAAAAUGAGAGAACGCCUUACUUCGCAUAGAAGAUCUUACAGAGGGACAGAAGACGUGUUUCCGGUCAGAGAGGUCACAGCUGGUGUUGAUCUGAAGCCGUCUGCGGUUCAGUGGUCAGAUCUGACCGCCAUCCAAACACAAUUACAGCAGCAGAGUCAGGCCAUUGAGACUUUAACACAGAAUCUUCGAUUACUAGAAGGAGAACGAAAUGCUCAGACAAGACAAAUACAAACAUUACAAGAGGAGCAGAAGAGACUUCGGGAUAAACUGGAGGAGAGAGAGCAGGACGCGGGUCGGAGAUCACUGAGUCCUGGACCGGACCGACGGAUCGAGCAAUGGAAGAGAGAGAUGGAUCGAGAGCUGAGCAGUCUGAGAGCGCAGAUCAAUCGCGCCGCGACUCUAGGAAACCAGGAAGAAAGUUUCAGCUCCAAACUGCGCAGAGAAGAACUGGAGCAGCUCAGGAGAGAGGUGGACAUCCUUAAAAACAAGCUCAUGCGGCAGGAAGAAGAUACGUUCCAGCUCCGGUCAGAGGCCAGAGAAACAAGGAGACAGUAUGAACACAGCUCUAAGACGUUGGAGAGUUUUACAGAUUCGUACCGAACGCACAGUUUCGAUCUCGCUCGGAUGGUGUCACAGUAUCAGCACACGCAACAGGAAGUGCGUGACCUCAGAGUCACUGUCUCCGAGCUGAAGGACGAGGUGCGAGGUCUGGUCCUGAGAGAAACCCUCCCCACACCUGCACCUCUAGCACACAAACCAGUGGUAACUGUGAAGACAAGCCCCCAGAGACGUGUGUCGUCAGGGUCCGAUGAUGAUUUCAGUCCCACCCCCAGUCUGGGGGAGAUCAGCUCAGAUGAGUUAGAUGCAUCAUGGCUGGAUGAACCAGAGCCACAAACCAGGAGGAGGCGCCGGCGAGUCCGUUUAAAUUCAGACAUUACAGGAAGUGACCUCAGCGAUGCUGGAAGUGGGCUGGAUAGUAACCUUGGCAAUGAUGCUGAAGGAGUUUCAGACAGUCCUCCAGAUCUCAGUCUCAGUGACCUCUGA
ensembl:lncRNA